UUCCAGACUCCUACGGGAGGCAGCAGUGAGGAAUAUUGGUCAAUGGACGCAAGUCUGAACCAGCCAUGCCGCGUGCAGGAUGACGGCUCUAUGAGUUGUAAACUGCUUUUGUACGAGGGUAAACCCCGAUACGUGUAUCGGGUUGAAAGUAUCGUACGAAUAAGGAUCGGCUAACUCCGUGCCAGCAGCCGCGGUAAUACGGAGGAUCCGAGCGUUAUCCGGAUUUAUUGGGUUUAAAGGGUGCGUAGGCGGUCCGUUAAGUCAGGGGUAAAAUUGCGGGGCUCAACCCCGUCGAGCCGUUGAAACUGGCAGACUUGAGUUGGCGAGAAGUACGCGGAAUGCGCGGUGUAGCGGUGAAAUGCAUAGAUAUCGCGCAGAACUCCGAUUGCGAAGGCAGCGUACCGGCGCCAGACUGACGCUGAGGCACGAAAGCGUGGGGAUCGAACAGGAUUAGAUACCCCAGUAAU
rnacentral:rRNA from 1 species